UCAGCGCCCGGUGACAGGUUAAUCUGCUUUAAAGCAGUAUUUCUCCAUCUAUAUUAUCACUUGGGUGUUUGUUAACAGUCCAGAUUCCCUGGGGAUGAAGCCGAGACCGGCGUUUUAACAAGCUCCCCAAGCCUUUGCUCUCUGGAAGUGCAGGCUACCCGCAGCUGGAGCUGGCGGGAAGAGGGCAACCAAGGUCCCCGUUUGCUUUCCUGCUGAGUUCCACUGGGGGUAGCCCAUCUGGACUCAAAUUACUUAGCUUCUCUGCGUCUUUACAAUCUCAUCUGAAAUAUGAUAGAAAUAGUACCUACCUCAUAGAAUUGUCCUAAGAAUGAAGAGAGUGUGGAUGUAGAGUGCAUAAUAAAUGCUCUGUGAACGUUAGGUAAUUUUUGGUUAAAAGGACAGUGAAACUAUGAAGGAUGGGUGGAUCCCAUUGCUCCAUUUCCUACACCCUAUGGAAAAAGUAAUUGGCACUAACACCAGAGACCUUGGUAUUCAAGAAAAUUCAUUCUAUCACUGAUUUUCUCAGCAUUGUUAAGCAACUGGAGGAAGUGAGGAUCCAGCUCUUGGAAGACAGGAUGAUGGAGGACUUACCAGACCUGGUUGCACUUUAUAGACACCGUUCAGGAAGCCAUUUGUUUUUGGAUAUUAAAGUAUAGACAGCAAAGGCCCAGUUUCCUUAGAUUUGGAAAGGAAGCCUGAGAGAAUACUAUUCUUUACCUUAAGAGAACAAGAUGAAAAUUAAUAUACAACUGUGCAAUAUAUACAUACUGCAACAAGGAUAAUGUGAAAACCACUGAGCGUCGAGCUUCUAAGUAAUGGCACUACAGGGUAAGUUAUGGCAUGAGUAUUAAGCCCAGGAUAUUCCUUUGCUCAAACUCCCUGCCCAAGAAACUCAAAGUUGCAAACUGCUGACAAUUCAAUGAAUAAGGGCUUGUUCCCAUAUCUUAUGACAAAUUGUGAUAGCUUUUGUAGUAUCAUAUAGCAUCCACAGAAAGCCUAUUUCUUUAAAUGGCUUUGUCUCGGAAGUUUGUACUCUAAUGCCUAUGUGUAUCUAUAUUUAUUUUGAUAUAAAAUGCUAUAAAUUGACUUACCACUAAGUUACAUUUGCCAGUCAAGAGCUACAUUAUCUUACUGCUUCACUUGGCCUACCACAGUGUAUCUUGUUGUCCAAAGUGCAGUAGAUGGACACCCAAAGAUAGGCAUCAGAAGCCUUUGGGGUUGAAAAUCUGAACCCCAAAUCUUCAUGGGAGAGGGAGCCUGGAGUCAGCAUUUAAAACAAGCGUUCCAAGUAAUUUUUGUAUCCAGAAGUCUGUGAACCACUCCUCUGAUGAAGGUAUGUGUAUCCUGGCUUAUGUAAAACACACACACAGACACAGAAGUUGAAUUCAUAUACUGCAUUUGUAUGAAAAAAUGAAAUGAAAAAUUAGGCCAAGGGAGUUGCAACCUUUAUUUUUCUUCAAAGAAAUUUUAUCAAUUACCAAACAUGAGCCCUCUCUCUUAUUCCCGGGGAGUGAGAACAGGAGGGGAAAAAUGGCAUUGACAGAUGCGGUGUCAACUAAUGAGGGAUGAGCCCAGCUGUCACACUUUCAAAAAUACAUCUUCUUCUUGGCUGUAAAUUCUGCAAUGCAAGACCAGGCACUGGGACGUGGGCUAUCUCUUAAUUAAUUCUUAAUAGAGCCAAAUCAUCUUUUUCCUCUAAAAUAUGAAAUGAGGACAAGAGGUACUGUGAGUUGUCUCACCACCUACCCCCACCACCUGCCCCCUUCAGAGGCCAGCAGCUUGGCCAUACGCAGACUGCAGCUGCUGUCUGCUGCUCCUCACUCACCUCCGCUGGCCCUUCGGCAGGUGGGUCUCUGAAGACUCCCUU